AGCUUGGUGGCGUAAUGGUAACACGCUCCGCGGUGCUCUACUGCAUUUGUAUAUUGUUUGACAGAAAGUCCGGAGUUCGAUUCUCCGUCAAGCCA